rnacentral:rRNA from 1 species
UCAUACGCUCGUCUCAAAGAUUAAGCCAUGCAUGUCUAAGUAUAAAUCUUUUACUUUGAAACUGCGAACGGCUCAUUAUAUCAGUUAUAGUUUAUUUGAUAGUCCCUUACUACUUGGAUAACCGUAGUAAUUCUAGAGCUAAUACAUGCGUCAAUACCCUUCUGGGGUAUAUUUAUUAGAUUGAAACCAACCGCUCCGGCGUGAUGUGGUGAUUCAUAAUAAUUGCGAAUCGCAUGGCUUACGCCGGCGAUGGAUCAUUCAAGUUUCUGCCCUAUCAGUCUUUGGAUGGGUAGGGUAUUGGCCUACCAU